rnacentral:rRNA from 1 species
UACGUAGGGGGCAAGCGUUGUCCGGAAUCAUUGGGCGUAAAGAGCGCGCAGGCGGCCCGGUAAGUCUGCUGUGAAAGUCCAGGGCUCAACCCUGGAAUGCCGUUGGAUACUGUCGGGCUCGAGGCCGGAAGAGGAGUGUGGAAUUCCUGGUGUAGCGGUGAAAUGCGCAGAUAUCAGGAGGAACACCGAUGGCGAAGGCAGCACUCUGGGACGUGACUGACGCUGAGGCGCGAAAGCGAGGGGAGCGAACAGG